GUCCUUGUCCCCAAAGCCCACGGGGGAUGGGACAUCCUUGUCCCCAAAGUCCUUGUCCCCAAACCCGUGACAGAUGGGACUUCCUUGUCCCCAAAGCCCAUGGGGGAUGGCACGUCCUUGUCCCCAAAGUCCUUGUCCCCAAUGUCCUUGUCCCCAAAGGCCUUAGGGGGUGGGACAUCCUUGUCCCCAACAUCCUUGUCCCCAAAGCCCGUGACAGAUGGGACUUCCUUGUCCCCAAUGUCGUUGUCCCCAAAGCCCAUGGGGGAUGGGACGUCCUUGUCCCCAAAGCCGAUAGGGGAUGGGACUUCCUUCUCCCCAACAUCCUUGCCCCCAAUGCCAUUAGGGGAUGGGACAUCCUUGUCCCCAACAUCCUUGUCCCCAAAGACCUUGUCCCCAAAGCCCAGAGGGGAUGGAACACCCUUGUCCCCAAAGUCCUUGUCCCCAAAGCCUGUGACAGAUGGGACAUCCUUGUCCCCAGCAUCCUUGUCCCCAAAGCCAAUAGGGGAUGGGACUUCCUUGUCCCCAAAGUCCUUGUCCCCAAUGUCCUUGUCCCCAAUGCCCAUGAGAUAUGGGACGUCCUUGUCCCCAAAGUCCAUGGGGGAUGGGACAUCCUUGUCCCCAAAGUCCUUGUCCCCAAAGCCCAUGGGGGAUGGGACACCCUUCUCUCCAAUGUCCUUGUCCCCAAUAUCCUUGUCCCCAAUGCCAUUAGGGGAUGGGACAUCCUUGUCCCCAGUGUCCUUGUCCCCAAAGCCCACUGGGGACGGGACAUCCCUGUCCCCACCACCCUCGCCCCCAAAGUCCUCAUCCCCCAUGGUUGGGACAGGCUUUUCCUUGGUGUCCUCGUCCUUAGGGGUUGUGACAUCCUUGUCCCCAAUGUCCCUUACGGUUGGGAUGUCCCCAAUGUCCCUUACGGUUGGGAUGUCCCCAAUGUCCCUUACGGUUGGGAUGUCCCCAAUGUCCUCGUCUCCAGCAGCCAAGACACCCCCAUUCCCACUGCCCUUCUCCAUACUGGGAACGGGGACAUCCCAAACUUCGUCCCUUGGGGUGGUGGCAUUCCCGUCCCCAAAGCCCUUGUCCCCAUCAUCCCAUACACCUAUGACAUCCCUGUCCCCGUCACCCUCAUCCUCGUGGACCGGGACAUCCUUGUCCCCAUAGAUGGAGACAUCCCUGCCCCCCAUAUCCCCCGGGGUUGGGACAUCCCUGUCCCCAACACCCCUUGGUGUCACCACCUCUGUCACCUCAGUGUCCUUUAGGGCUGUGACAUCAAUGCCAUCCCCGUCCCCAAAACCCUUCAGGGUUGGGACAUCUCUGUCACGUGGAACGGGGACGUCCCCGCGCCCCACAUCCGCACCCCCAAUGUCCUCAGCGGUGUCCCCAAUGUCCCCAACGUCCUCGGUGUCCCCAAUGUCCCAAAUGUCCUCGAUGUCCUCAUCCGCCGGUGCCACCGUCACAGUGAUGGUGAUGCCGCUGGCCCAAGGAGUGACGGUGACCUCGGGGACAUCGACGUCCCCUUUGGGGACACCGCUGUCCCCCUCUGUCACCUCCCCAGGGAGGGGAC
rnacentral:lncRNA from 1 species